GUGUCAUCCACCAUGGUUUUCAGGAUGUUUCAUAUUUCUUUUUCAGGAAAAGAAAAUCCUUCAUAGUUUUCAUUCUCAACAAAUUCCUUUACUAAAUUCCAGGAAGAUAUGCCUCUUUGUUUGAAGCUGGACACUCACCUUGGAAGACCGUUAUGUUCACUCCUUCACCAAGAGGGCCUAGAUGUGGUCAAAACUUAUUUUAGGAAUAAGACACAAGAAAGUUGCAAGAAGUGUAUUAAGUGAAUGAUUAAUUAAUGGAAGGCCAACAUCACAAGCCCAUGUACUAAUUUCAAAACACAACCAAUCAUGGAAAAAUCUCUGAAAAGGUCCAGAAGAGUCUGGGAGGAUUUGGGAGUAUUCUUUGAUACUUUUGUAAUACUGUAGUGGGUAUUAAU
ensembl:lncRNA